AUGAUCUAGCUUGCUAGAUUGAUGGCGAGUGGCGAACGGGUGAGUAAUACAUCGGAGCGUGCCCUGUAGUGGGGGAUAACUAGUCGAAAGAUUAGCUAAUACCGCAUACGACCUGAGGGUGAAAGUGGGGGACCGCAAGGCCCCAUGCUAUAGGAGCGGCCGAUGUCUGAUUAGCUAGUUGGUGAGGUAAAGGCUCACCAAGGCGACGAUCAGUAGCCGGUCUGAGAGGACGAUCAGCCACACUGGGACUGAGACACGGCCCAGACUCCUACGGGAGGCAGCAGUGGGGAAUUUUGGACAAUGGGGGCAACCCUGAUCCAGCAAUGCCGCGUGUGUGAAGAAGGCCUUCGGGCUGUAAAGCACUUUUGUCCGGAAAGAAAUCGCACUUACUAAUAUUAGGUGUGGAUGACGGUACCGGAAGAAUAAGGACCGGCUAACUACGUGCCAGCAGCCGCGGUAAUACGUAGGGUCCAAGCGUUAAUCGGAAUUACUGGGCGUAAAGCGUGCGCAGGCGGUUGUGCAAGACCGAUGUGAAAUCCCCGGGCUUAACCUGGGAAUUGCAUUGGUGACUGCACGGCUAGAGUGUGUCAGAGGGGGUAGAAUUCCACGUGUAGCAGUGAAAUGCGUA
rnacentral:rRNA from 1 species